rnacentral:lncRNA from 13 species
AUGGAUUAUCAACGCCGUAUUACCUCAUAUCCUUUGAGAAUACUUUGCUUUUUUAAUCUGGUUUGUUCUGUGUUGUUGUCUAGCUGUCCUCGUACCUGUGACUCAGGCUUCAUCAUUAACAAGUGUAAGUGUGUCCCUUGUCCCAAUGGUUACUACUGGUACAAGCUUAAUGGCCAUCCUAAGUGUGACUUCUGUACUAAAGCCUGCUCAGUUGAUCGGCACUUGACACAGGUGAAGGAAUGCCGCCGGGACUCAAACCGGGAGUGCCACUGUGUCAGGGGCUUUUUCUGUGCCAGCACUGCCCAGUAUACCUGCAGGAGGUGUAAACCGUGCGUGUCUGGCACCUUCUCCAACACAGCAAACCUAGCCACGUCCUGCAAACCCCACACAGUUUGUGGCCAUAAGGGAAUGACCAUGGUAACAGAGGGCACUGCCUCUCAGGAUCGUGUGUGUGCCCAGACUUCCCCCACCUCUCCUACAACUACUGCACUUCCACCUGCUCAAAGCUCAAAGAUGUCCCUUCGUUCUGCUAUAUCCAGUGGUGUCGGCACCAACAGAGAACUCCUCAUCGCGAGAUCCGCAUCUCGACUGGUUUGGUCUCCUGAGAACGUUCUCAUCAGGUCCUCUCUGUCCCAAGCCAGGAGAGACCCCUCCAUCUCCCUCGCAACCAAGCUCACCACCAGGAGAAAGCCAUGCAAGGUGGACAGUGACACCUCACCUGCAGAGUCUGCCUCUGCACCCCCUCUUACCACAAAAGACAAUGACUCACCUCAUCUCCCAGUCCCAGCCUCUGGACAGAGCCCUCCCAGUCUCCCUUUGCUGCUGCUGAUAGUUGGGCUCUUAGGGGUCACUCUGCUGCUGAUUGGUUACUUUGUGGGGUGUAGGGGGAGGUCACUGGAGUCCAUGCACAAGUGGAAAGGUCCAAUAUUUCGGAAAUAUAUUUGUAAGGAAAGUCUGAGAGGGAGCUAUAAAGCGUGGGAGUGCCAGCCUUGUCCUGCUGCCCUACAGACGGCUUCCUAUAAGCAGGCCAAGCUGCCACAGGAGAGAAUCCCACACCUGGAGGCCCAGCAUCUUCUGGGGAGGGAGACUGGGGGAGAUCCUAGACAGGAGGGUACAGGGUCACAACUUCCAGGGGGCAUGCAGAAUGUCUCAGUAGAUCCCUCUGGAGGAGAAAACAUUAGCAACAUAGUAGGGUCCAUAUACAUCUACUCUCCAGGGACGGUUGUCCUGGGAUCCAACAAAUCAGACAGGGAGGGGGAUCAAGGGGAGAGUGGAGGAGAGGGCUGUCCCCUCACCAGCAAGCCCCAGCAGGAGUCCUCCUACCCACUCCCUUGGGGCUCCGCUCUGGGGCCAGAGGGAAUGAGUACGCCGAAGGAUACCUGCAAAGAGCUGAGCUACCCCGUGCCAGCCACCAGCAAUUGA